AACUGCUGCUGUGCAGAGAACAGUUCUCACACUGAAUGUUUAACAUCAGCCACUUUGUCCUGUUGAUUUCAACCUUGUCGUACAGAUGGAACAUUGGCUGUGGAUUCUUCUCACUGCUCUGGGCUUUGGUUCAAUAUCUGUGAACAGUAUCCGACCACGGGAAGUUGAAGUCAGUGAAACAGAAGGAAAAUCUGUUACAUUGACCUGCGACACUGAGAACUCAGACUCCGACAUUGACCUUCACUGGUACAGGCAGCAUUCUGACCUUCAGCCUCCUCACUUUAUCCUCUGGAAAGAAUCACAGAAUUCCCCAUCUCAGUAUAUCCGUGACGGCCGAUUUAAAUCCCAAACACCAGACCAGACCACAGAGCUGACCAUCCCAGUCCUAACCCUGGCAGACACAGCUCUGUACUACUGUGCUCUAGAAACACAGUGAUCCAAAGUGGAGAAGAGGCUGUACAAAAACCUGAACACACAGAUCUGACUACUCUGCACAGAGGAGGGAAGUGGGAUUGAACCCACAGCUUCAUAUCAGAUGGAUUCUGCUCAUUCCUGUUUGAUCACAGUCACUGUGGCUACAGCUGCCAAUCAAACACUGUGGGAGGAGUCACACUCUCCUCAAACACACAUCAGUGCCAAACCAGCUGAUGACACUAAACACACAGAUCCCAGCCUUAUUCUACAGUAGCUUUGGGUUUCCUCUGUUGAGGAGUUGGUGUUUUUCAAACUCUGUGUGCUUCCACCUGUCCCAGAGAAGUGGCAAAACCUCCAACUCAUCUCAUCAACCUUCCCAUGACCAAGUCACACAUGGACACAUUUGUGGAGAAGCUACUAAUGCACUCAUCUCCUCCUACUGUAGCUUGU